UACAGAGGGUGCGAGCGUUGUUCGGAAUUAUUGGGCGUAAAGGGCGCGUAGGCGGUGCCACAAGUCACUUGUGAAAUCCCCGGGCUUAACUCGGGGCCUGCAGGCGAAACUGUGGUGCUGGAGUAUGGGAGAGGUGCGUGGAAUUCCCGGUGUAGCGGUGAAAUGCGUAGAUAUCGUAAGGAAGACCAGUGGCGAAGGCGAAUCUCUGGACAGUUACUGACACUGAGGCACGAAGGCCAGGGGAGCAAACGGG
rnacentral:rRNA from 1 species